rnacentral:rRNA from 1 species
GUGGGGAAUCUUCCACAAUGGACGAAAGUCUGAUGGAGCAACGCCGCGUGAGUGAAGAAGGGUUUCGGCUCGUAAAGCUCUGUUGUCGGGGACGAAUGUGCAGUAUUUGAAUAAAGUGCUGCAAUGACGGUACCUGACGAGGAAGCCACGGCUAACUACGUGCCAGCAGCCGCGGUAAUACGUAGGUGGCAAGCGUUGUCCGGAAUUAUUGGGCGUAAAGGGAGCGCAGGCGGGAAGGUAAGUCGGUCUUAAAAGUGCGGGGCUCAACCCCGUGAUGGGAUCGAAACUAUCUUUCUUGAGUGCAGGAGAGGAAAGUGGAAUUCCUAGUGUAGCGGUGAAAUGCGUAGAUAUUAGGAGGAACACCAGUGGCGAAGGCGACUUUCUGGACUGUAACUGACGCUGAGGCUCGAAAGCCAGGGGAGCGAACGGGAUUAGAAACCCCGGUAGUCC